GCCCGGAUGGUGUAGUGGUAUCAUACGUCUUUCGGGUGGACGUGGUCCCGGGUUCAAAUCCCGGUUCGGGCC